CACGACGAGGGGUGACCGACAUCCUGACUGAGAGGACAACACAAGCCGAUGAAACAGAGGCCAACAAUGCAGUUGAAUGCACUUCAGAGGGCCUUGGAGCAUGGCAGUUGGGCCUCAGUCAACACUGUGAAUGUGUCACUGCAGGCACUGAACUGAACCUCAGCGAGGGGGUCAUCGACACAUCGGGGAAAACAGAAAGUAAACCCAGAGACCCUCUUAUAGCUUCCCCAUCUGCUGUCAGAGUCACUGCCGUGGCUGCUGGUCCAAGACGUCAACAAGCCUGCAGGGUGGACGUCCCCUUCUACUGAAAGAAGAAGAAUUUAUGGUCCAAAGAAACAUCACAUGCAACAGGAUGUUUCGGCAUGUUCAGCCGAAUGAUACAUAUACAAAAAGAAAUAUAACUUUGUUGUAUAGCUGCAAAAAACACUAUUUGCCUUGGUGUGAAGAUGCCUGCUUGCACCAGUGGAGGUGAAUUAAAUUAAGAUCAAGAUAAGGAUUUCCUUUAUUAGUCCCACAAUGGGGAAAUUUCAUGAAUCAAAGCAGUUAAGUGAAAAGCAAAAAAAAACAAAAAUAGUAAACAGCAGUAUAAACUAAAAAAAUAUAGGCGGUAUUAGCACAUAAACAAGUAAAAAAUAUAAAGUACAAACAAUUAACAGUAUAAACAAGUAGAAAUAUAAAUAUACAAAAUAUUAACAAUUAAAACAAGAAUAAAAUAAAAACUUAUUAAAAUUAUAUACAAUAUAGACAGAGUCAGUAGGUGGAUAUGGACCAUAGAAUAUUGCACAUAUAAAUUAAAUUAUCCAAAUAUUUUAAAUCUUGCUUUAAUUAUUUCUAUAAGAGAAAUUGAGUUAUAGCUAAAGAAUUAGCCACAAAAGUUUUUCACAAAGUCACCAUCUGUAAAUAAGAAAUAAACACAGAGUAAUAGCCAGGGUUUAUUAAUGUUGUUAAAAACAAUGUACUACCAUUAAUGGACUACUGAACAGGCCACUGGGUAGAGGGGUCAACAUGUCCUGGGCCCCUGUGGCCUUCACCUACAACAUGUCACUCAAAGAGUCAGACAACAACUAUGAAAAGGGCCAAAGCUACUACUAAGAGACACAAAUUGACGAUAAAAAGAUACAAAAGAACUAGAGUGAGCCUUAAAAUAUGACUACAAAAUGAGGCAAAACAGAAAUGGACAAAAAACAGAAGAUGGUAAACAUCUAUAGAGUCUGUGAGUGUCCUGAUGCAGGAGGAGAUGUGGCCUUCUGCACGUCUUCGCUCAGGUGGUCACAGUGUGAUAAUCUGCCCACGUGUAAUCCAACUGUCAACACAUUAUCAGGUACUAACUGAACCAUGCAAAACAGAAGCAUUAAGUACACAAAGUGAGCAACACAUACAUUAAGAUAAAUCAGAUAUGCAUGUAGGCUCACAUUGACCUCACUGUGAACUGUUGUCUUAGACUCAACUCAACUUCAACUCAACUUUAUUUAUAGAACCCUUUAAGACAGCGUUAGCUGAUACAAAGUGCUGUACAUGGCAGGACAGACCAACAAUAAAAACAAAACAAGCAAAAACAACUAAAACAAAGCGAGUCUCAUGCUGGGUAAAAACCAAUAAAUAAAAGUGGGUAUUAAAAUGAAUCUCAAUUUUAAAAUGAGUCUU